AUUGAACGCUGGCGGCAGGCUUAACACACGCAAGUCGAACGAUGAUUAUCUAGCUUGCUAGAUAUGAUUAGUGGCGGACGGGUGAGUAACAUUUAGGAAUCUGCCUAGUAGUGGGGGAUAGCUCGGGGAAACUCGAAUUAAUACCGCAUACGACCUACGGGUGAAAGGGGGCGCAAGCUCUUGCUAUUAGAUGAGCCUAAAUCAGAUUAGCUAGUUGGUGGGGUAAAGGCCCACCAAGGCGACGAUCUGUAACUGGUCUGAGAGGAUGAUCAGUCACACCGGAACUGAGACACGGUCCGGACUCCUACGGGAGGCAGCAGUGGGGAAUAUUGGACAAUGGGGGCAACCCUGAUCCAGCCAUGCCGCGUGUGUGAAGAAGGCCUUUUGGUUGUAAAGCACUUUAAGCAGGGAGGAGAGGCUAAUGGUUAAUACCCAUUAGAUUAGACGUUACCUGCAGAAUAAGCACCGGCUAACUCUGUGCCAGCAGCCGCGGUAAUACAGAGGGUGCGAGCGUUAAUCGGAAUUACUGGGCGUAAAGCGAGUGUAGGUGGCUCAUUAAGUCACAUGUGAAAUCCCCGGGCUUAACCUGGGAACUGCAUGUGAUACUGGUGGUGCUAGAAUAUGUGAGAGGGAAGUAGAAUUCCAGGUGUAGCGGUGAAAUGCGUAGAGAUCUGGAGGAAUACCGAUGGCGAAGGCAGCUUCCUGGCAUAAUAUUGACACUGAGAUUCGAAAGCGUGGGUAGCAAACAGGAUUAGAUACCCUGGUAGUCCACGCCGUAAACGAUGUCUACUAGCCGUUGGGGUCCUUGAGACUUUAGUGGCGCAGUUAACGCGAUAAGUAGACCGCCUGGGGAGUACGGCCGCAAGGUUAAAACUCAAAUGAAUUGACGGGGGCCCGCACAAGCGGUGGAGCAUGUGGUUUAAUUCGAUGCAACGCGAAGAACCUUACCUGGUCUUGACAUAGUGAGAAUCCUGCAGAGAUGCGGGAGUGCCUUCGGGAAUUCACAUACAGGUGCUGCAUGGCUGUCGUCAGCUCGUGUCGUGAGAUGUUGGGUUAAGUCCCGCAACGAGCGCAACCCUUUUCCUUAUUUGCCAGCGGGUUAAGCCGGGAACUUUAAGGAUACUGCCAGUGACAAACUGGAGGAAGGCGGGGACGACGUCAAGUCAUCAUGGCCCUUACGACCAGGGCUACACACGUGCUACAAUGGUAGGUACGGAGGGUUGCUACACAGCGAUGUGAUGCUAAUCUCAAAAAGCCUAUCGUAGUCCGGAUUGGAGUCUGCAACUCGACUCCAUGAAGUCGGAAUCGCUAGUAAUCGUAGAUCAGAAUGCUGCGGUGAAUACGUUCCCGGGCCU
rnacentral:rRNA from 1 species